GGGAAAUGGCAGUACAUUUGUGACAAUGACACAGGUUCAGCCCACAAAAUUCAAGUGCCAUGCCUGCCAGGAAGCUGAAUCAACAGAAAAGAAACUGAGAAGUAUUCAUUUUCCUGUUUGGUGGUCAGAAUUGGAGAAUCUGCAAGACUUAUCUUCAACCUCUCUCGAUUCUUCAAAGCUCCUAGUACCCACCUGGAACAGCAGGAUGUGUGCAUG